GAUGAACGCUGGCGGCGUGCCUAAUACAUGCAAGUCGAGCGAACAGACGAGGAGCUUGCUCCUCUGACGUUAGCGGCGGACGGGUGAGUAACACGUGGAUAACCUACCUAUAAGACUGGGAUAACUUCGGGAAACCGGAGCUAAUACCGGAUAAUAUAUUGAACCGCAUGGUUCAAUAGUGAAAGACGGUUUUGCUGUCACUUAUAGAUGGAUCCGCGCCGCAUUAGCUAGUUGGUAAGGUAACGGCUUACCAAGGCAACGAUGCGUAGCCGACCUUGGGGGGGGGACGCCCCCCCUGAAGGGGGAACGCGGCCCAGGUCCCGAGGGGAGGCAGAAGGGGGGAAUUUUCGCCAAAGGGGGAAAGCUUGGAGGAUGAGCGGCAGGCGGGUGAAGAAGGGCUUGGGACCGUAAAACUCUUUUUUUGGGGAAAACCAAAUUUGUAAGUGACUAAGCACGUUUGGACGGUACCGAAUAAGAAAGCCCCGGUUAACUACGG
rnacentral:rRNA from 1 species